GCUGAGGAGGAAGGAGCUCUUGAUCAUGAAAGAGAGGAGAAGCCUGAGGCAGGAGCAACGUCUGACUGCUGCAGGAUGAAGAAACCCCGGGGAGCAGCCAGACUUGCCCCGUGAUGUCUCCUUGGGGAUCCACUCCUCUUCCUUGGAGCUCCGCUCUCUCUGGUGUCAUGAGAAGUCUUGAGGAUUGACCCCUCCCUGCUAGAGAUAGAAGAGCUUCAAGGGAGGACUUGCCCUUUUUCCAACAGAAAUACCUCACCAGCAACUCAGCUUUAUUUAACACGUCAGCAGUACAAACAAUACACUGUGGACUCAAAAGAACUGUGUUACCACUGCUGAUUUUCUUUUAAUGAACUGACAUAAGGAAGGAAUGGGCUGUAUCAUAGUGCUUUACUUUGCACAAGUCCAAACCAGCAUGGCCCUGGAGCCUACUUCAAAGGCUGAGAUCUCUAUCUACAAGAAGGAUUUCUAUAAAACAAAAGC